AACGCGAAGAACCUUACCGAGGCUUGACAUGACCGUGACCGCUCGUGAAAGCGAGCUUCCCGCAAGGGCACGGCCACAGGUGUUGCAUGGCUGUCGUCAGCUCGUGCCGUGAGGUGUUGGGUUAAGUCCCGCAACGAGCGCAACCCGCGUGAGCAGUUAAGCUGUCUGCUCAGACCGCCGGGAGCAACCCGGAGGAAGGCGCGGAUGACGUCAAGUCGUCAUGGCCCUUACGCCUCGGGCUACACACACGCUACAAUGGCCGGGACAACGGGCUGCGAACGCGCAAGCGGGAGCCAAUCCCUGUAAACCCGGUCUCAGUUCAGAUAGGGGGCUGCAACUCGCCCCCUUGAAGGCGGAGUUGCUAGUAACUGCUGGUCAGCACACAGCGGUGAAUAUGUUCCCGGGCCUUGUACACACCGCACGA
rnacentral:rRNA from 1 species